UUUGAUAACUGUUAAAGAUAAUGUUUGUGAUUAUCUAUUUAGAGGAUAAAGUAUAUCUUCUUCUUUUGUCUUAUUAAUCAAAGUCGGUCUUUGACUGAUAUUUAUGACCGACUAAUGUUAUAUUUUAAUAUUUCUCUGUCACUAUAAAUAUGAUGUAUCCUCUUGUUUAUUAAUUGAACAUCUGAAGUGAAAAAUUCUCUCUCUCUCGUUGUUUCCAUUUAGAAGCACAAAAACCCAAAACACAAUAAACUCAUAUUACAUCGCUCUCUCUCCAUCGCUGUCCACUCUACUUUUAAUAUAAGCUAUUCAAUAUAAAGCCACAUAUUUCCAACUAGUUUAUAACAAUAACCAAAAAUAAUUUUGGUAAAUUUUUUUGCGUAAAUUAAUAGAUUUAGAAAUUGAAACAAAAUCCUUGCUUCUUGCUUUAGUCUUUCUCUUUCUUGUAUCAUGAAAGAGCCUUUGUUUCAGACUGACAGAUAAAAGUGUCGAUGAUUUAUACUAUUUGUCUACUUCUAUUUUUUAUCAGUCUACAUAACGCCGGUUGAUGAUGCUCUAGAACUAGCAGUGGUGGAUCAAUGUCUAUGUUCGAAAUUUAAGUAGGGUGCCUUGUAAUUGGGCCUGUUUUUAUGAAUAUAAAGCUUGUUUAUCAGCAUCUCUCUAGAGUUAUAUGAUCUUAUUUCUGUUUGACUGUUCCUAACUGCUUGGUAUUCAUUGUGUUUAGGGUUUGAGAUUUUGUCUAACCUCGUUUUGUUGUUCGAUGUUGGUUGUGGGUUAGUAUGUUGUGGAUUUUCAAUCGAAGGUUUCUUUCAAUUAUUUUAAAGACUAGAGUGGCUUUAUUGUAAUGGAAAAUUAUACGCUUUCUCAUGUGCGUCGGCUAAUGUGCUAGUUUCAGUUUUUCUUCUAUGAUGAAGCUGUUAGUCACACAAGCAGGCAGCUGUGUUACUCGAGUUGAGAAGAAAAAGGGAAGUCAUUAAAGAUAUUUGACGUGAUUAAAGACUAAGUAUCUUGGAAGACUUGGCCAGCUAGCAAACAAGAAGAUUUUGUUUGAUCACAAUAUUGGAGAAAAGAUUUUUCGUUUGUGAGUAUGUAUGUAGGAUUUUAGGGUUAGGUAUGUUUGCGUUUCAUAGAGCUUAAGAAACAUAGAUUGUUUUUGUUUUUAGAGCUAGAGUAUUUUCGUUUUGAAUCACUGAUAAGAUUAGAAAUUGGUAUGUCUUAAAUCAUAUGUGACGUUGACUAAUCCUGAUUAAGCAGAUUUGUAAGAAUUUUUUAAAUAUAAUUUUAAUACAAGUGAAAUGUAUUCUUGAAUCUAUUAUCUGAGUCUGUUGUUUCUUGUAAGUUUGGUUUUCUAUUUAGCAUUAGAGCGGGCCACUAUCUACCUAUAAGUUGAGGUCCUGUGAAAGCUAUCGAAACAAUGAAUGAUUUAGUGAAAAUUCAAAAAACUAUCAUGUUAGAUGAACGAAAUUCAUACACUGGAAGGCACGAAUGAGACACAUCAUUUGUGGAAUCAAUGAAGACAAAUGAACAGCGCUUGAACAAGCUGUGUUACUCAAGUUGAGAAGAAAUAGAGAAGUCGUCAAAGACGUAUGACGUGGACAACCACUAAGGGUCUGACUGGUUCAAACGCAGCGGUUGCGGAUGCGAGAGUUUAUGGAUGCGGAUGGUUGCGGUUUCUAGCGGUUUUAAGAGAUUUGUACGACUGGUUAUGCGGUUAGAAAUUUGUGCGUUUACGGAAUACUUUUGACUAAUUAACUACCAAACACAACAUCAGUUAAAUAAUAAAUUAAUAAUAUUUACAUUUUAUAUAAUUAUUAAAGUAUCAAAAAUCAUAAUAUUAUCAUAAAUAUAAAAAUUAUUUUUAGAAAGUUAUAGUUUUAAAUUUUUAAAAAUUAUAGAAAUAUUUUUAUUUUAAAAUUUUAUAAUAUUAAUUAAAAUAUAAUAGAUAUAUUUUAGUAUUUUAAUAAUUCUAAUUUAAAAUUUUUAUGGAAUAUUUUUAAUUUUGUAUUUAUAUUGUCUAAAAAAAGGAAAAAUCUAUCGUCUCGCCACCGCCCACAGCCGUAAAAGUUAGCUGGAACUAGCUUUUUAAUUUAUGAGGUUUAAAGUGGUUUGAAUGAUUUUUGCAAAAUGCCAACAACUGUUAGCAACUGCAAAAACUGCGUUUGCGGAUGAUAGCGAGGUAACCAGUCAUACCCUAAGUAUCUUGGAAGAACUGGCCAGCCGGCAAAUAAGAAGAUAUGGUUUGAUCACAAUAUUUGAAACAUGAUACCGUGAAUGUGAGUAUAAAUGCAAAGGGCCAUAAGGUUAAUUAGCUUGUGCGCGUUUCAUAGAGCUUAAAAAAAAAGUUCGUUUGUCUUCUUAGAACUGGAGAGAAGAAACAAUCUAGAUUGUUUUUCUUGUUUUGACUUAACUAGAAGAUUAGAAAUUGGUCUGUCUAGUUGUGUGUAACACUGAAUAAUGAGUCGAUAGCGGUUUGGGACACUUUUUUUUAUCUUUUUGGACACAUUCAGACAUAACUUGCUGGAGAGACACUUUGUCUUGAUUUUGAGCUGGUUUCGGACCAUUGUGCCCCUUGCUUUCUUAACUGAGACCAAGGUUGAGUCAGUGUUUUUUUUUAUUAUUUUUCGCCAACUGGAAAGUGACCGUACAGCCCUGCGUUUCGUAGGAGUUAUUAAGUUUGGUUUUGAGAGAAUACUUUCUUCUCAACUUUUUAUUUGUUUUUUUGCAAAGUUUUUAUGUUUUUAUUUGUUUUUUUCUCAGAGUUUAAGACAUUUGAAGAAAAUAUAAUUAUUACAAUAAAUUGCAAUUUGUUUUUCUCUAUAUUUUAACAUCCAUUUUCAUAUAUAUAUAUAUAUAUAUAUAUAUAUAUAUAUAUAUAUAUAUAUAUAUAUAUAUAUAUAUAUAUAUAUAUAUAUAUAUAUUUUAUAUAUUUCAACAAUUAUAAAAAAAAAUGUAUGGACAUAAGAAGUGUGGAUGCAAAAUUGUGAACAUAUAAGAAAAAUACGUGAACAUAAAAAGAUGUGGAUAUGGAUGGAUAAAAAAUGUAGAAAAUCUCUUUAAAAUUUUCGUGGAUGAGGUUUCAUGAACUAAGUUUCAUGGAUGUGUUUUUUUGGACAAGUUCUUAUAUUCCUAAUCAUCUUACAUAAUUUCUUAGUAUCUGUGGACAAGUGCUUUAUAACCGUGUAGUGUUUAUGUACAUUCCCAACAUAUUUUUUGGGUCAUUAUUACAAAUUAUAAUGUAUAAAAUCUAUAUUAAUGCAUAAAAUAAGUUAUAACUUUUUCUCUUCUACAUUUUGAUAUCCAUAAUGUAUAUAUUUUUUUGUAAAUUUAUAAUAAAUUUUGAUGUCCAUGUGAACGAGUUCUUGUGAACGAGGUUUUGUGGACACUAUUUUGUGGAUAUACAUAUUUCUAUAUAUCAUAUAGGAUUGUUUAGACACCAUUUUAUGGACAUGCAUAUUUUAUAGAGAAUUUUGUCGAACAACUUGAAUGCGUUUUUUGUGUGUUUUCCAUUUUGAUUUUUUGUCCAUAUAACAUUCAAAUUAUUUCCUCAAUAAAUUAAGUUAUUUUACACACUUUGUUUCAAAACUCAAAAGUUAUUACAUCAGCAAAACAAUGAACAAAA